rnacentral:rRNA from 1 species
AACUCUUAAGAAUGGAUAACUUGGCGUGUGCUUCCACAAAGUAUGUAGCCAGCUAUUAAAAUUAAUGUGAAUUGCAGGACACAUUGACCAUUGACCCUUGUGGCCCUGGAUUCCUCCUGCGACUAUGUCUGCCUGCUUUUUG